rnacentral:lncRNA from 1 species
CACUGAGAGGUCCCUGCCACUCUAAGAUGUUCUGUGAUUCUCUCUAAAGCUGCUCAAAUUAGCUCCCUGUGCAGCCAGAGUGACACAAAGCCAGGCAGUGAUAAUGCUUUAGCACAGAACCUGUAGCCAGCAGCAUGUCUCUCCUUCCAAGGCUGAAGAAAAGAUGUGAGAGUUGCUAAAGUAAUGAAGAUCUAACGACAUAAACAAGGCAGUUGUUUGGAAGACUCCAGUUUGCACAGACUACAGAACUACAGUUCCGUUCACUGGAAAUGGUGGUGUCUGGGGAAGAGAAUCUCUUGUCUGGGACAGCAGAGGACAUUUCAAGUCAGAACUAAGAACUUCAUUGCUAUCAGUGAUGGCCUUCAAAGAGCUCCCGAGAGAUGCACUUGCCUCAUGUCAGCCCUAACUUCAGAUUUUGAGGCAUGCUGAGGAAAACAAUCACAGCAAAGAAGCACCAAAUCUCCUGCGAGCUAUCCCCUGAUCAGUGGGCACACAAAGAUGCACCAGCAGCUGUUAAUGUUGCGUUAUGGAUGAUU